rnacentral:rRNA from 1 species
GAUCCUGGCUCAGAUUGAACGCUGGCGGCAUGCUUUACACAUGCAAGUCGAGGGGCAUCAGGGUGUAGCAAUACACCGCUGGCGACCGGCGCACGGGUGAGUAACACGUAUCCAACCUGCCCUUUACUCGGGGAUAGCCUUUCGAAAGAAAGAUUAAUACCCGAUGGCAUAACAUGACCUCCUGGUUUUGUUAUUAAAGAAUUUCGGUAGAGGAUGGGGAUGCGUUCCAUUAGGCAGUUGGCGGGGUAACCGG